rnacentral:rRNA from 1 species
AGGACGAACGCUGGCGGCGUGCUUAACACAUGCAAGUGGAGCGACGAACCAGGGCUUGCCCUGGGGCAGAGCCGCGAACGGGUGAGUAACACGUGGGUUACCUGCCUCGAUGACCGGGACAACCCGAGGAAACUCGGGCUAAUACCGGAUGUGCCCGCAAGGGGAAAGGAAGCUUCGGCCUCCGCAUCGAGAUGGGCCCGCGGCCCAUUAGCUUGUUGGUGAGGUAACGGCUCACCAAGGCUUCGAUGGGUAGCUGGUCUGAGAGGACGAUCAGCCACACUGGGACUGAGACACGGCCCAGACUCCUACGGGAGGCAGCAGUGGGGAAUCUUGCGCAAUGCGCGAAAGCGUGACGCAGCAACGCCGCGUGGGGGAAGAAGGCUUUCGGGGUGUAAACCACUGUCAGGGGUAAGAAAGUUCUGAUCUGCCCAGAGGAAGGCACGGCUAACUCUGUGCCAGCAGCCGC